AUACGGAGGAUGCGAGCGUUAUCCGGAUUUAUUGGGUUUAAAGGGAGCGUAGGCGGGAGCUUAAGUCAGCGGUUAAAUGUUGCGGCUCAACCGUGCCCUGCCGUUGAAACUGGGUUUCUUGAGAGUGCAAGAGGCGGAUGGAAUUCAUGGUGUAGCGGUGAAAUGCUUAGAUAUCAUGAAGAACUCCGAUUGCGAAGGCAUGCAGCUGGGGCACGUCUGUCGCUGAUGCUCGAGGGUGCGGGAAUCAAACAGGAUUAGAUCCCCUGGUAGGCCACGCCGUAAACGAUGGGCGCUCGGCGUCGGCGGCAGACAGUCGGCGGCCAAGCGAAAGCGAUAAGCGCCCCACCUGGGGAGUACGGUCGCAAGGCUGAAACUCAAAUGAAUUGACGGGG
rnacentral:rRNA from 1 species